ACACAUGCAAGUCGAACGAAGCAUUUAGAACGGAUUACUUCGGUUUGAAGUUCUUUAUGACUGAGUGGCGGACGGGUGAGUAACGCGUGGGUAACCUGCCUUGUACUGGGGGAUAGCAGCUGGAAACGGCUGGUAAUACCGCAUAAGCGCACAAUGUUGCAUGAUAUGGUGUGAAAAACUCCGGUGGUAUAAGAUGGACCCGCGUCUGAUUAGCUAGUUGGUGAGAUAACAGCCCACCAAGGCGACGAUCAGUAGCCGACCUGAGAGGGUGACCGGCCACAUUGGGACUGAGACACGGCCCAGACUCCUACGGGAGGCAGCAGUGGGGAAUAUUGCACAAUGGAGGAAACUCUGAUGCAGCGACGCCGCGUGAGUGAAGAAGUAAUUCGUUAUGUAAAGCUCUAUCAGCAGGGAAGAUAGUGACGGUACCUGACUAAGAAGCUCCGGCUAAAUACGUGCCAGCAGCCGCGGUAAUACGUAUGGAGCAAGCGUUAUCCGGAUUUACUGGGUGUAAAGGGAGUGUAGGUGGCCAUGCAAGUCAGAAGUGAAAAUCCGGGGCUCAACCCCGGAACUGCUUUUGAAACUGUAAGGCUGGAGUGCA
rnacentral:rRNA from 1 species